rnacentral:ncRNA from 1 species
UCUCAUCAAGAGUAGUGGAGGGAGAGGCCCUUUGAAGCUACAGCAACCAUUCCUUAGGGGAGAAGGUGCUAAAUCCAACGAUCUUUGAUCGGAAGAUG